UGAAUGAGAGUUUUUUGAGAGAGACAUAUCAUUUCUAUCAUGCCACAUAGAAUCAACCCCUUUCAAAUUUUUAGGCCUGCCUGUGGGAGCUAAUCCAAGACGUUGCUCUACAUGGAAACAGACCGUCGAAUUUAUGGAAAGGAAAUUAACAAGUUGGAGGAGCCGAAACCUUUCUCUAGGUGGUGUGUAACUUGGAUAAAUUCACUCUUAAGUAGCCUUCCAUUGUAUUUCUUCUUGUUCUGUAAAGCCCCUAGCAGUAUAAUUCAUAAGCUCAUUCGAAUCCAAAGAAAUUUUCGAUGAGGAGGUGGAUCUAAAGGCAACAAGGUUAAUUGGCUGGGAUAAAACCAUUUCUAUUGUAGGAUACUAUCAUACUGUCAAUCAUCGAUUAUGUCCCAACAAUGUUCCAUCGAAAAUUGGAGUUUUUGGGUGGCGAGCAUUGCAAGACAGGUUACCGACUAGAGAAGGUUAAGGAAUAAGGGUAUUCUCCAUAAUCCCCUGGUCUUUUGUUGUGUGUUCUGCUCUUAUAAUUUAGAAUCAUCUUCCCAUGUGUUGGUUUCUUGUCCCAAGAUCAGAUCAAUUUGGUGCAAUAUUUUCAAUCGGUUGGGUUUGGAUUUUAUUGAUAGUGAGGACGGCACCAAUCACUUCAUACUUUUUCUCGAUGGUCUGAAAAACUCGAACAUCAAUAAGGAAUGAUCUCGAAUUUGGUUAAUCAUUUCAUGGAGGGUAUGCAUAUUAAAAAAUAACAUCAUAUUUAAAGGAGCGAUAGGCAAUUUUCAACAAAUGAUGGAUGAGAUUAAAUUCUUCUCGUGGUCUUGUCUAAAGGCUAGAUAUCAUAAACUCAAUACUGUCAGCUUUUAAGAGAGCUUAUGACCAUCGGGACUGAUGAGCCUUUUUAUCUAGGCAGGUGCAAGUGAAAGGUUUUAGAUUCAUCAAUGCCUCAAAUAUCUCCAAUCAGGAGUGUCUUUGGCUAAAGAUGUGAAUGGUUGACGAAGAAUAAUUGGAGCUCCUAGGCUCAUGACAGAUUUUCAGUAUAUUUGUGUCUCGCCUCUGUUCUAAGUCAAGAUGGGUAGUGGUAGAUGUAAACUUCUACUGUUUCAUUCCGAGAAUGAUCAAUCCACGAAAAAACAAGGUUGGGUUGUUGGUGACUCAAUCAAUGUUGGAGUCUCAAGGAAUUUUCCGUCUAUCAUGUGCAACACGGUCUGUUUUUGUCAUGAAUUAAGUUAAUAGAUCCUUUGGCACUUAAAGGAACUCAUGUGAGAUCGAGAAAGAAUAGUUGAAGGUAGUUUUGAGAUGGGGGAGGGGCGCAUCUAACUUGAUUAUGUUUGGUGCAAGAUAAGUAUCCUAGUGGAGAAAUUUAAAGAGCUAUGAAAGAUAUUCCCAUCCUCUCCAAUUUUUUUCUCUA